rnacentral:tRNA from 1 species
GCGGGCGUGGUGGAAUUGGUAGACACGCUAGACUUAGGAUCUAGUGCCGCAAGGUGUGGAGGUUCGAGUCCUCUCGCCCGCACCA